GUGGUGCCAAAGGACCUAGUUUCCGCAGCAUGGAUCUGCUGGUGUGGAUCUGCAAGGCUUUGAACCUGUGGAAUCAACUUCUUGUCUGACCUGCUGAUAGAGCACUUUCCAGUAAGGAUGCAGUUGGAAAAUCUGCCACCUGCUGGCCAAAGGUAAAAGCCCUCAAAACCAUGCAGAGGUGUCCACCCUGCAGAGUCUUUACAACAUUUCAGGAACUCUGCCUGUGCACCAGCGACCGGCUGCUUCAGCGGCAGGUU